rnacentral:tRNA from 1 species
GGGGAUUUAGCUCAGCGGCAUAAGCACCUGCCUUGCAAGCAGGCGGUUGUUUGUUUGAUCCCCG